UAGGCUAGUAGAAUUACGGAGCGCGGUUGAGGACACGUUUGGUUGCUUGACUCUCAGAAGAGUUUUUCCGGUGCCAAAGUAGUGAAGGGGCUCAAGGAGGCAAAGUUUGAUUGCACUAAUGCCGAAAGGUUGGAAACUGGAGAAGCCGAAGGAACAAAGGUGCAAAACGAGCCUGGAUUCUUGCUUGACAUGAGGAGCCUCAUCAGUGUACAAUGAUUUGCUACCAACCUCAAGUACUUAAGAUGUCUACGCUCCUUUUUAUUCAGCCUUUACCCAUUUGCUUUCUCUCCACCCCACUUCAUUAUUAGCUAGUAAAUUCUCUUUCAAUUUGUGCA